UCCGCGGGGAGAGCCGAUUCGGGUCGCCCUCGACGGCAAAGCCAGAACGCGCGAAAAAAUCUAGGCGGAACUCUCCGGAUGGAUAAGUCCGUCUGCAACAAAUCCCUAAAUCUACGUUCUCCACUCCGACCUCCUCCUCCACUUUCCCCUCCGAUUUUUGCUCAUCUCAAUGAAAUCCUCCGAAGCUGCAGAGAUAAAUCGAGCGAGUUGGCUCAAGUUGCCCUCCACGAUUAGCUGAAGGCGCAUCAGAUUUGACAAGGAAAGCUUACAUCCGCCUUGCUCAAGUCUUCGUCCGCCCCCAUCCGCCUUGCUCAGAUGGACGACAGUGCGCAAAUUAAAAGAAAAAUUGCGUUCUUCAGUGCUUUUGUAGUGGCAUAUUGUUAUCAUAUAUCUAAGCAACUCUAGUCACCCUACAAGAUACUCAUUAUUAGAGAGAAAUAAAGAAAGAAUGGCAUAUCUACGAAAAUUGUAUUGCGGUGAGGAGAAACACUGCAUUGGCGAAUUGCGCAUGAAAAAAUCAGUGUUCUUCAAACUGUGUGAUAAAUUACGAAGUAUGGGUCCACUUAAAGAUACAUGGCAUUGUACUGUAGAGGAGCAAGUUGCCAUGUUCCUCACUACAGUAGGGCAUCAUAAGAAACAUAUCGACAUUAGUUUCCAUUUCACAAGGUCAGGUGAGACAGUGAGUCGUCACUUCAACAGAGUUUUAUUUGCAAUUGGGAAACUUGGACCAGAAAUGCUUAGGCAUCGAACACUUGAUACACCAUCAAAGAUUGAAGGCAACCCACGAUUUGAUCCGUAUUUUAAGGACUGUAUUGGUGCUAUUGAGGGUACACAUGUUUCAUGUAACGUUCCAUCUCGGAUAGUCGACAGAUUUCGUGGCAGGAAACCAUUCCCUACCCAAAAUGUUCUUGCGGCGAUUGACUUUGAUUUGUUAUUCACUUAUGUUUGUGGGCGCUGGGAAGGUUCGGCCCACGAUUCAACUGUUUUACGACAUUCUCUUGAGCAUCCAAAUGGCCUUAGAAUCCCUGAAGGUAAAUACUAUCUUGCGGAUGCGGGUUAUGCAGCUAGGAGAGAAUUCCUACCACCGUUCCGUCAAACUCGAUAUCAUUUGCGUGAAUGGAGGGGUAAUAAUAGACCCCGCACCCAGAAUGAGCUAUUCAACUUAAGGCACUCAUCCCUUCGUACAACCGUUGAAAGGCAUUUGGGACAUUAAAGAACCGUUUCAAAGUUCUGACAACUAGGCCUUACUAUCCCUUUCCUUCACAAGUAUAUGAGUCGUCAUAGCAUGUUGUAUCCUUCACAGCUGGAUAUUACUAAACGGGGGUCCUGAUGAACUAGUCUACAGUGAGCACAACUGGUUUGAGCAAUAUCCAAGAUCAGCUGGCCGUGUCCAACGGGAUUUACGUGAGGAACAAAGGGAGGUGCUUAAAGAUAGGGAUACCAUGGCAGCCAAUAUGUGGAGAAAUAGGCAUAAUGUUAGACGUGGUUGAUUUUUUUCAAGCUUUAUGUAUGAGUUUGUUGAUUCUAAGUUACAUUGCCACUUAGAAGAACAACUUGUGUGUUUUCUUUCUUCAACUUGUAACUAUGAUUUAUUUCCCUUGGUACGAGUGGCAAUGCGAUAUGCAUCUCAGAGGUGUUGUUUUGUCUUUGAAUUAUAAAAUUUAAUUGAUGCCAUAGGGAUAUGGUAGGUAAUAACAUGGUGUGGCAGCCCCAAGUUGUAGAUGAAAUGCUACGUUACUACAAAGAGAAGAUUCAGUCUGAGGGAAAACAAUUUGUCUUCAAAGAGACACAUCAUGAGGAGUGUGCAAAACAAAUCAAUGCAAAGUUUACCACCGCCUUCACACAAAGGCAAGUUUAUCACAAGUUCCAUAAGCUGAAAGGUAAAUGAAAGAUCAUACUAGAGGCGAAGAACUUAAGUGGUGCCAAUUUUGAUGAUGCCAACAAGAUAAUAUUAUAUGAUGAAACUGAAGUUGUUCGAUGAAGAACAACAAAGACAAAAGGGCAAAAUAUAUCAAUGUGCCUAUUGCCAACUUUGAUGAGAUGGAGUUCAUAUUGCAGGAUAAGCAUGCUACCGGGGAGUUCACGGUCCUUCAAACACCCUAUGACCGUGUUCAUGCUCGUGACAAGGAUUUUAUUGGUGACACCGAGAAGCGUGCGAUUGAUAUUGAGAUUGAUCCUGCAACACAAUAUGAUUCAGAUUGUCUUCCUGAUGACACCAAUAAUGAAAGCUCGUCUUCGAAGCAUCCUAGACGCGGCAAAAGCGGUAAAGGUAAGAAGGUGAAGUGUGAGGAGAGUGUAGUUCAAGACAUGACGCGGUCUCUGCGUGAUAUGUCGGAUACUAUGCGUUUCACACAUGUGACCAACCCGAAUGAGAAUUUAUUCAAAAUAAUUGAUGACAUGGAAGAAUACCCUCUCUUUGUCCGACUUGCACUACAUACGUCUUUGGCCACCAAUGAACAAGUGGCGUCCAUGUUGAAAGGGAGGCCGAUGACUGCUAUUCAAGAGUUUGCGCGGCACUGGGUCAGUGAUAACUUUCCUGAACACGUUCA